GUGGAUGCCUUGGCACUAGGAGCCGAAGAAGGACGUGACAAACGACGAUAUGCCUUGGGUAGCUGUAAGUAAGCGAUGAUCCAGGGAUUUCCGAAUGGGGGAACCCAACAGGUACUACCUGUUACCCGCAUCUGUUAAGGAUGUGAGGAGGAAGACGCAGUGAACUGAAACAUCUAAGUAGCUGCAGGAAGAGAAAGCAAAAGCGAUUGCCUUAGUAGCGGCGAGCGAAACGGCAGGAGGGCAAACCGAAGAGUUUACUCUUCGGGGUUGUAGGACUGCAAUGUGGACUCAAAGAUUAUAGAAGAAUGAUUUGGGAAGAUCAGCCAAAGAGAGUAAUAGCCUCGUAUUUAAAAUAGUCUUUGUACCUAGCAGUAUCCUGAGUACGGCGGGACACGUGAAAUCCCGUCGGAAUCUGGGAGGACCAUCUCCCAACCCUAAAUACUCCCUAGUGACCGAUAGUGAACCAGUACCGUGAGGGAAAGGUGAAAAGCACCCCGGGAGGGGAGUGAAAUAGAACCUGAAACCGUGUGCCUACAACAAGUUCGAGCCCGUUAAUGGGUGAGAGCGUGCCUUUUGUAGAAUGAACCGGCGAGUUACGUUAUGAUGCGAGGUUAAGUUGAAGAGACGGAGCCGUAGGGAAACCGAGUCUGAAUAGGGCGCCUUAGUAUCAUGACGUAGACCCGAAACCAUGUGACCUACCCAUGAGCAGGUUGAAGGUGCGGUAAGACGCACUGGAGGACCGAACCAGGGCACGUUGAAAAGUGCUUGGAUGACUUGUGGGUAGCGGAGAAAUUCCAAACGAACUUGGAGAUAGCUGGUUCUCUCCGAAAUAGCUUUAGGGCUAGCGUCGACAUAAAGAUUCUUGGAGGUAGAGCACUGUUUGGGUGAGGGGUCCAUCCCGGAUUACCAAUCUCAGAUAAACUCCGAAUGCCAAUGAAUUAUGGUCGGCAGUGAGACUGCGAGUGCUAAGAUCCGUAGUCGAAAGGGAAACAGCCCAGACCACCAGCUAAGGUCCCAAAAUAAUUGUUAAGUGGAAAAGGAUGUGGGGUUGCACAGACAACUAGGAUGUUAGCUUAGAAG
rnacentral:rRNA from 1 species